rnacentral:ncRNA from 1 species
UGGGGACCCGCUAUGCCCAAAGCGAGAGAAACCCCAUCCCUCUCUUUCCUUUUUUCGCCCUCAUAUCGCAACGGGGAAUCACUAGUAAUCACCGGUCAGCCAUACGGCAGUAAAUUCGUUCCCGGGCCUUGUACACGCAGCCCGUAACACUAUGGGAGCUUGCCAUGCCCGAAGUCGUUACCUUAACCGCAAGGAGGGGGAUGCCGAAGGCAGCGAUAGUGACUGGAGUGAAGUCGUAACAAGGUAGCCGUAAGCCGUAUUGGAAGGUGCAGUUG